CUACUCUGCACCGGGGCAUUAUCUGAGCAGACACCUGUCUACUGUGAUAUACCUGGUCACCCUAUUCUGCACCGGGGCAUUAUCUGAGCAGACACCUGUCUACUGUGAUAUACCUGGUCACCCUAUUCUGCACCGGGGCAUUAUCUGAGCAGACACCUGUCUACUCUAAUAUACCUGGGCACCCUACUCUGCACCGGGGCAUUAUCUGAGCAGACACCUGUCUACUGUGAUAUACCUGGGCACCCUAUUCUGAGCAGACACCUGUCUACUGUGAUAUAUCUGGGCACCCUAUUCUGAGCAGACACCUGUCUACUUCUGCUUUCAUCCUUCCAUUUUACCUUGUACCAUGGAUGUUUUUGGACUAUUGCCUAACUUGAACUUGUAUUGACUCUCUUUGACUCUCCUGCGGCCCGGUGUAUCGCUUUCCACCGACCUGUACAGGAAACGACAUCCCUUCCAUGCUGCUUCUCUCCUGGCUAUCAUUCCGGUAACACAGCCUCCGUUGUGUCAGUGUUUUGAUGGGCCCCAGCAUUCAAUCGUAUUGAAAUUGUUCCAAAAUGGCGUCUACCACUUUGUGCCAUACGGGGAAAUGGACUUCUUCCAGAUUGGCAGCAACCCCCUUCAGAGACUACGGUUUCAUCCCAUCCUGGUCGUUGUGCCACUGCCUCACCACCAUGUUGCCUCUCUCUGACUGACUGGCCAGGGCUGCCCUGCAGAGACCCCUCCCUAGUGAAGUCCUCUCCCCUCCCAUCUCACCUGCCCUCUCCAUCCUCCCCAGACCUCCCAUCCCGACCCCUCCACCCCCUCAGAGAAUAAAGGACGCUUCAUGAGGGGCUGGUGGAUGCCACGGUUAUCAAUCCUGCAUCCCAGUGGAGGCACGUCACACACUGUGAGCCCAGCGCAAGGCAGCGGUCUUUGGUGAAUGGGGUUAUAAUGGCCUUGCACCAUCCUGCUGACCAACAGUGUUACCGACCGGCUUCCAGAGAUUCCUGCUCCUUCAUCAAAUGUCAAAUGUACAUUAUCCCAAGGGCAUUGGCAGACACAAUAUGACGGGGAUUUGGACCUUGACAAAGCAGUAAAUCCUUUGCAUCGGACUCAUUAAAGAAAAAAUCUUCAUCCAGUUCGAGCAGGAUAUACAUCUGGAAGAGGAGCUGAGGGGCACUCUCCAGGAACGUCUCAAACAGUUUGAGCAUGCUCAGAUCGGUCGCCCGACCAAACAGGACCAAGUGGACCUCUCUGGAGAAUUCAACAGUCUCAGGUGACUUGAACCACACCGCCAUGUAUCCUGCCUUCAA